rnacentral:rRNA from 1 species
CAGCAGCCACGGUAAUACGUAGGUGGCAAGCGUUGUCCGGAAUUAUUGGGCGUAAAGGGCUCGCAGGCGGUUUCUUAAGUCUGAUGUGAAAGCCCCUGGCCCAACCGGCGAGGGUCAUUGGAAACUGGGAAACUUGAGUGCAGAAGAGGAGAGUGGAAUUCCACGUGUAGCGGUGAAAUGCGUAGAGAUGUGGAGGAACACCAGUGGCGAAGGCGACUCUCUGGUCUGUAACUGACGCUGAGGAGCGAAAGCGUGGGGAGCGAACAGGAUUAGAUACCCGCGUAGUCCCUGUCUCUUAUAA